rnacentral:rRNA from 1 species
UACGUAGGGUGCGAGCGUUGUCCGGAAUUACUGGGCGUAAAGAGCUCGUAGGCGGUUCGGUUAGUCGGGUGUGAAAACUUUGGGCUCAACCCAAAGCGUGCACUCGAUACUGCCGUGACUAGAGUUCGGUAGGGGAGUGGGGAAUUCCUAGUGUAGCGGUGAAAUGCGCAGAUAUUAGGAGGAACACCGGUGGCGAAGGCGCCACUCUGGGCCGAAACUGACGCUGAGGAGCGAAAGCGUGGGUAGCAAACAGG